ACGAACGCUGGCGGCGUGCUUAACCCAUGCAAGUCGAACGGGUCUGCCCUGUUUUUUGCGGGGUGGGUCAGUGGCGAACGGGUGAGUAACACGUGAGUAACCUGCCCCUCACUUCUGGAUAACCGCUUGAAAGGGUGGCUAAUACGGGGUGUUCUGGCUGUGCCGCAUGGUGUGGCUGGGAAAGAUUCACUUUUGUGGUGUUUUGGUGGGGGAUGGGCUCGCGGCCUAUCAGCUUGUUGGUGGGGUGAUGGCCUGCCAAGGCUUUGACGGGUAGCCGGCCUGAGAGGGUGGGCGGUCACACUGGGACUGAGAUACGGCCCAGACUCCUGCGGGAGGCAGCAGUGGGGGGUAUUGCACAAUGGGCGGAAGCCUGAUGCAGCGACGUCGCGUGAGGGAUGGAGGCCUUCGGGUUGUGAACCUCUUUCGCCGGUGAAGAAGGUCCUGCUCUUUGUGGUGGGGUUGACGGUAGCCGGGUUAUGAAGCGCCGGCUAACUACGUG
rnacentral:rRNA from 1 species